UACGGAGGGUGCAAGCGUUGAUCGGAAUUACUGGGCGUAAAGCGCACGUAGGUGGUUUUCUAAGUCAGCUGUGAAAUCCCCGGGCUCAACCUGGGACUUGCAGUUGAAACUGGGAAGCUAGAGUAGGGUAGAGGGGUGUGGAAUUCCAGGUGUAGCGCUGAAAUGCGUAGAUAUCUGGAGGAACAUCAGUGGCGAAGGCGACACCCUGGACUCAUACUGACACUGAGGUGCGAAAGCGUGGGGAGCAAACAGG
rnacentral:rRNA from 1 species